rnacentral:tRNA from 2 species
GCAUCUGUAGCUCAACCGGAUACGCGGCUGGAACGGGAAACCCGGAAACUUCGGCUCGCUGAUCGUGAUUCACCAGGGCAUCGUCACGAGAAAGCGGUUCGUAUGCGGAACGGCGCCUCCUACGGCUCAAGAGCACCAGCUUUGGGGGCUGGAAGGUGCGGGUUCGAGUCCCGUCAGAUGCGCCA